CAGCCACAUCACAUUGAAACACCUGUUCCCGCACGAUCACCGAAGUUAAGCAACAUCGAGCCUGAUCAGUACCUAGAUGGCUGAACGCUUGGGAGUACCAAGUGAUGUAA